rnacentral:ncRNA from 2 species
UUGCCACACUUUGCAACAAGUUUAAGCUUUGGCUUUAGGGAAGUUGGUGCGAAUCCAACACUGCCCCCGCAACGGUAAAAUGAAACGUUUAUCUUUAUAAACCAAAUGGUUUACACCACUGUAGCUCGGCUAUGGGAAGGUGGAUAUUCAGCAUAUGAGCAUGUGCACAUUUAAGUCCGGAUACCUGCUUGUUGUGUUCUCUCACU